rnacentral:rRNA from 1 species
GACGAACGCUGGCGGCGUGCUUAACACACGCAAGUCGAACGCUGAAGCCCUUCGGGGUGGAUGAGUGGCGAACGGGUGAGUAACACGUGGGUAAUCUGCCCUGCACUCUGGGAUAAGCCUUGGAAACGGGGUCUAAUACCGGAUAGGACACAUCGCCGCAUGGUGUGUGUGUGGAAAGUUCCGGCGGUGCAGGUUGAGCCCGCGGCCUAUCAGCUUGUUGGUGGGGUGAUGGCCUACCAAGGCGACGACGGGUAGCCGGCCUGAGAGGGUGACCGGCCACACUGGGACUGAGACACGGCCCAGACUCCUACGGGAGGCAGCAGUGGGGAAUCUUGCGCAAUGGGCGAAAGCCUGACGCAGCAACGCCGCGUGGGGGAUGACGGCCUUCGGGUUGUAAACCUCUUUCGACCGGGACGAAGGAUUCGUUUGACGGUACCGGUAGAAGAAGCACCGGCUAACUACGUGCCAGCCGCCGCCGUAA